rnacentral:lncRNA from 1 species
CAAUUUCCCACGUCCACUUAGUUUUUGACUUUGCUAAAAAAGGGGGUUUCUUUUGGUUUUAUGAAAUACUCCACAGAGGUUAGAAUCCUGGUAAAGCUCUGCAAAUUUGUCUAUCAGAACAAUUUUCGUAACCUCUACCUGUUGUUUGCCUUAACAAUAUUUAUUUAUUUUGAGAUAUUUGUUGCAGCAGAAUGUUGAAGACAAAUACCAGGUGAAGGAAGACUAUCCAACCAGAGAACUAAUGUCCUAAAAAUAGAAUCCUGAAUAUAUGACAAAACGCCAUUGUUGAACCAUUGUAAGCCCAAAGACACAGAGUCCGAUAGAAGCCCAGUUCUUGACUUGUCUGGGGUUCCAAAAUUCUUGUACCUGGGCCACAUUCUAGCCCGUCCGAGCUGAUCCCCACCAGUCUUUUGUCCAUCGACUGAACCGAAGGCUGAAAGAGAACGAAGUAGGCAGGCAGGCAGGCAAUGAUUGACAACUUUGACCUGGUUGAGCCCUGGUGAAGUGAUGUGGUCUCAACAUAUGCGCAUGCAUUUUUUCUUUUUAGCAAAGGUCAAAAACACAUGUUUUCGUAUCUCAAAAUGCAGGGGAGGCUGGACUUAUGGCUUAUCCCAUGUGGGGAUGGGUUGCAUAUUCCUUAACGAAAUGAGAAGUUCGUUGACUUAUCUCAAUACGCUUUCCUUGUAUUUCCUGUGUGCUCUGUCAGAAUUUAAUCUACUGAUCAAAGGGAAAAAGGUAAGAAAAAACCAGGGAAUAAGAGUACACCAUGCCAAUGGCUCUAAUUGAGAGUAGAACUCCAAUUCAAGCCC